rnacentral:rRNA from 1 species
GUCUAUGGCCAUGCCACCCUGAAUAAGCCCGAUGUCUGAUCUCAGAAGUUAAGCAGAGUUGGGCCUGGUUAGUACUUGGAUGGGAGACCACCUAGGAAGAUCAGGUGCUGUAGGCA